rfam:Candidate division WOR-1 bacterium RIFOXYC2_FTLL_41_25 rifoxyc2_full_scaffold_231, whole genome shotgun sequence.
GAUCAAGUUAUUGCAGCACACAGUGGAUACCUUGGCACUGCAAGUCGAUGAAGGACGUGAUUGGCUACGAUAUGCCCCGGGGAACUGUCAAAAUAGUAUUGAUCCGGGGAUUUCCGAAUGGGACAACCUAUAGCGGUUAAUACCGUUAUACUGUCUGGUUUACGCCAGAUGGAGACAACCCGCUGAACUGAAACAUCUUAGUAAGCGGAGGAAGAGAAAACAAUAGUGAUUUCGGUAGUAGUGGCGAGCGAAACCGAAACAGCCUAAACCCUAACUUCGGUUGGGGGGUAGUGGGACCGUGACAUGGGAUUCUAAAAAAUCUAACUAAACUAAUCUGGAAAGUUUGGCCAUAGAAGGUGAUAGCCCUGUAAGUGAAAGAUUUUUUGACCCUAGCGGUAUCCCAAGUACAACGGGACACGAGAAAUCCCGUUGGAAUCGGGGAGGACCAUCUCCUAAGGCUAAAUACUCUGCAGUGACCGAUAGUGAACUAGUACCGUGAGGGAAAGGUGAAAAGAACCCAGGAAUGGGAGUGAAAUAGAAUUUAAAACUGUGUGCUUACAAGCAGUUGGAGCUCCGACUUGUCGGGGUGACAGCAUGCCUAUUGAAGAAUGAGCCGGCGACUUACAUUUGCAAGCAAGCUUAGGGUGUUGAGCCCGAGGCGUAGCGAAAGCGAGUCUUAAUUGGGCGAUUUAGUUUGCAGGUGUAGACCCGAAACCGAUAGCGAUCUAUCCAUGGCCAGGAUGAAUCCCAAGUAACAUUGGGAGGAGGUCCGAACCGGUUGAAGUUGAAAAUUCUUCGGAUGAGUUGUGGAUAGCAGUGAAAAGCUAAACGAGCUCGGAGAUAUCUGGUUCUCCUCGAAAUGGUUUUAGGGCCAGCCUCAAGCGUAUCUUUGCAGGGGUAGAGUACAGUUUGGACUAGGGUCCCGAAAGGGAUUCCAAAUUCUUGCUAACUCCGAAUACUGCAGAUUAAUUACUUGGGAGUGAGACUACGAGGGAUAAGCCUCGUGGUCGAAAGGGAAACAGCCCAGACUACCAGCUAAGGUUCCUAAAUACAAGCUAAGUGGUAAAGGAAGUGAGAUCACUAAAACAGCCAGGAGGUUGGCUUAGAAGCAGCCAUCCUUUAAAGAGUGCGUAACAGCUCACUGGUCGAGUGUUUUUGCGCCUAAAAUCCACGGAGCUAAAGCUUGUUACCGACGCUGUGGAUUCUCUUUGCUUCGGCAAAGAGUCUGGUAGAGGAGCGUUCCAUGCUAGGUUGAAGUUCAAACGUGAGUUUGGAUGGACGAAAUGGAAGUGAGAAUGUCGGCAUAAGUAACGAAAAGGUCGAUGGAAAUUCGACCCGCCGAAAGUCUAAGGUUUCCUGGGGAAGGUUCGUCCGCCCAGGGUAAGUCGAUGUCUAAGUUGAGCCCCGCGUAGCGGGGGUAAGCGAUGGUAAACCGGUUAAUAUUCCGGUACCACCUUUAAUGUUAACCAAAGGGACGCAGGAGGAUAGCUCAUAACACUUAUUGGAUUGUGGUUACCCCAUUUAUUUGGGGGUUUUGGGUGAGUCCACACUGACAAGAAAAGCUUUGGGUAUUGUUUUGGGUGAUCGUACUAUAAACCGACACAGGUGGACAGGCUGAAUAAGCCAAGGCGCGCGAGAUAACUCUCUCUAAGGAACUCGGCAUAAUGAUCCCGUAACUUCGGGAGAAGGGAUCCCUGACGCAAGUCAGGGCACAGAUACUAGGCCCCCGUGACUGUUUAACAAAAACACAGGUCUCUGCUAACCCGUAAGGGGAAGUAUAGGGGCUGAUGCCUGCCCAGUGCUGGAACGUUAAGGGGCGCGCUGAGAUUAUAUCAAGGUGCAAACCGAAGCGCCAGUGAACGGCGGCCGUAACUAUAACGGUCCUAAGGUAGCGAAAUUCCUUGUCGGGUAAGUUCCGACCCGCACGAAAGGCAUAACAACAGGGGCGCUGUCUCGGAGAGAGACUCGGUGAAAUUGGGAUGUCCGUGAAGACACGGAUUACCUGCAUCAGGACAGAAAGACCCCGUGGAGCUUUACUGUAUCUUAGCUUUGGAUUUCGAUGUCACUUGCGUAGCAUAGGUGGGAGGCUUUGAUAUCUCGGUUUCGGUCGAGAUGGAGCCAAUAGUGAAAUACCACCCUGGCAACGUUGGAAUUCUAACCCUGGAAGUGUAUUCUGGGAGACAGAGUUAGGUGGGCAGUUUGACUGGGGCGGUCGCCUCACAAAGAGUAACUGAGGCGUUCAAAGGUUCCCUCAGCACGGUUGGAAAUCGUGCGUAGAGUGUAAAAGCAUAAGGGAGCUUGACUGCGAGACAGACAAGUCGAGCAGGGACGAAAGUCGGAUUUAGUGAUCCGGUGGUUCCGCAUGGAAGGGCCAUCGCUC